AUUGAACGCUGGCGCAUGCUUUACACAUGCAAGUCGAACGGUAACAGGCCUUCGGGUGCUGACGAGUGGCGAACGGGUGAGUAAUGCAUCGGAACGUACCCAGAGGUGGGGGAUAACGCAGCGAAAGCUGUGCUAAUACCGCAUGUGAUCUGAGGAUGAAAGCGGGGGACCGAGCAGCAAUGUUUGGCCUCGCGCCUUUGGAGCGGCCGAUGUCGGAUUAGCUAGUUGGUGGGGUAAAGGCCUACCAAGGCGACGAUCCGUAGCUGGUCUGAGAGGACGACCAGCCACACUGGGACUGAGACACGGCCCAGACUCCUACGGGAGGCAGCAGUGGGGAAUUUUGGACAAUGGGCGCAAGCCUGAUCCAGCAAUGCCGCGUGCGGGAAGAAGGCCUUCGGGUUGUAAACCGCUUUUGGCAGGAACGAAACGGUGUCCGCUAAUACCGGGCGCUAAUGACGGUACCUGCAGAAUAAGCACCGGCUAACUACGUG
rnacentral:rRNA from 1 species